GUGUCAGAGGAGGAGCGGUGGCAGGGAAGAGCUGCAGCUUCUGUCUCCGCCCCGGGUAGACGGCGAGAGGGGAACAGAGAGGGCUGCUCUCUCCCCCUCUCACCAUCCAUGACUCCCGGUGGAAGAUGCGGCGGCCGCCGGGGACUCGGUGCUCAGAGCCUCCAAUGGAGAGGGGGAGGGAGCGGCUGAACAUGUAGGGAAGCGGGGGAAGGAGAAAGGUCUGUGUCCCCGCCUCAACAUGGCUGAGAACCCUGGCAGCGUGAAGACGGCGAAAGUGUGGCGGGAGGCAGCGCUGCGCUGCAGGAAACUCCGCAGCAACUUGCGGCAGCUCACCGUGUCCAGCCAGAGCAGCCAGAACCUCACCCUGCCGGAGAACAUCAAGCAGAUCCACAUCCUCAACCUGGCCAACAACUCGCUGCAGGAGCUCCCCGAGGGGCUGGACAGCUCGCUCACCAACCUGCGGGCGCUCAUCCUGCGGAGGAACCGCUUCUGCCGCCUGCCGCCGCCCCUCCCGGCCCUCCGGCACCUGGACGAGCUGGACCUGGGCCACAACUGCCUAGCCCAGCUGGCCGGCGAGCUGGGCGGCCUGCAGCGCCUCCGCAAGCUCUGCCUGAGCCACAACAAGCUGCAGCUCCUGCCGCCCGAGAUCGGCGACCUGGGCGGCCUGGAGGAGCUGGACGUCAGCUUCAACGAGCUGGGCCAGCUGCCCAGCACCUUCGGCCGGCUGCAGCGGCUCCGCACCCUGGACGUGGACCACAACAAGCUGACCCACUUCCCCCCGCAGAUCCUGCACCUCGGCGAGCUGGAAGAGCUGGACUUCUCCGGCAACAGCAUCCGCGUCCUGCCCCAGGAGAUCCUGAUGCUGCGCUCGGUGAAAAUCCUCUGGCUCAGCGGCCUCAAGCUGUCGUGCCUGCCGGACACCUUCUGCAGGCUCACCGCCCUGGAGAGCCUCAUGCUGGACAACAACGCCUUGCACUCCCUGCCGCCCAGCUUCGGCGACCUGGGGCGCCUCAAGAUGAUCAACCUGUCCUCCAACCGCUUCGAGGACUUCCCGGCUGUCCUCCUGGAGCUGGUGAAUUUGGAGGAGCUGUACCUGAGCCGAAACCGGCUGUCCGCCAUCCCGCCCAAGAUCUCCAACAUCAGCAGGCUGGCCACCCUGUGGCUGGAUAACAACAGGGUGAGGUACCUGCCCGACUCCAUCGUGGAGCUGGUCCACCUGGAAGAACUGGUCCUGCAGGGGAACCAGAUCGCCAUCCUCCCCGAUUCGUUUGGGAAGCUCUCCAAAGUCAGCCUGUGGAAAAUCAAGGACAACCCUUUGAUCCAGCCGCCCUAUGAAGUCUGUAUGAAGGGGAUCCCCUACAUAGCGGCCUAUCAGAAAGAGCUAGCCCUGUCCCAGCCUGCGGUAAAACCUAGGCUGAAACUGGUACUGAUGGGCUCUAAAUGCGCUGGCAAGACAUCACUCAGACAGUGUCUGGUCGGAAACCUGUCAAGUCUCCCUGCAAUCCAUGGCAAAGGAAUCGAGGUGACUCAGUGGGUGGCUGAUGCUGAGAAGAAUUUAACCUUCAUUGUCUACGAUUUGGCUGGGGACCAGAACUAUGAUCUUAUCCAGCCGUUCUUUCUUUCUCCUGGCGCUCUUUAUGUCCUUGUAGUUAGUUUGAAAGCUUAUGUCUCUGGUCGGUUUUAUGAAUUGGUUGGGUAUUUCUUGCACCUACUUGGGGCCAGGGUCCCUCAUGGCGUUGUGUGUGUGGUGGGCGCACAUGUGGACCAGUGCAAUGAGAAAGAAGUGGAGGAAAAAUGCCUGGACAUCCAUCAUCAAAUUGCCCUCCAAGAGAAGCGAGACGUUGAGGUCAUGCAGGCUGUGGCCGAGAAGGUGGACGGGGCUCUAGGGCAGGAGUUUGACCUGCGAGCUACUAACCCACAUGCACCUUUUUAUGGAGUCUCUGAUAAGAAUCUGAGGAGGAAGAAGGCCCAGGUACAAUACCUAUUGAACAACCGCCUUCAGAUACUAUCCCCAGUUAUUACUGUGAGCUGUCAGGAAGACCACAUUGGAAUUAACCGCUUGAAGGACAAGUUGCUUUCUGUGGCUGAGCACCGGGAGAUUUUCCCUAAUCUGCACCGGAUCUUGCCCAAAUCCUGGCAAAGGUUGGAAGAGCUCCAUUAUAAACCCCAGGAGCUCUGGCUUUCCUGGUGGGACUCGGCCAGACUGGGAUUACAAGCUGGUCUUACCGAAGACCGACUCCAAAGCGCCCUGUCCUACCUACACGAAAGUGGUAAACUGCUGUAUUUUGAGGACAGUUUGACUCUCAAAGAGUGUGUCUUUCACAACUUGACCAAGCUGAUCGACAUCCUGAAUGUCUUCUUCCAGCGCGAUGCCUCAGUUCUGCUCCAGAAGCUCUUGGCAGAUGCCAAUAUUGAUGAGCUGAGGGCCACACAACUCCACCAUUACGUGGAGGGGUUCCUGCUUCAUGGACUGCUCCCUCUGCAUAUUAUUCGACUGCUUCUGAAGCCACACAUCAAAACUCAGCAGGAUCUCCAUCUGAUUCUGGAACUACUGGAGAAGAUGGGACUUUGUUACUGCCUCAACAAACCCAAAAUUAAGCCUCUAAAUGGUGCGGCGGUUUGGUUCAAAUUCCCCUGUUAUGUGAAAAAUGAAGUUCCUCAUGCAGAAGCCUGGAUCAAUGGGUCUAACCUCUCUGGGCAACCGUUUGCAAUUGAACAGCUCCAAGUGGAAUACAGUUUUCCUUUUUUGUUCCCGCCAGGCCUAUUUGCCAGAUAUAGCGUCCAGAUCAACUCUCAUGUUGUACAGCGGUCAGAUGGCAAGUACCAGAUCUUUGCUUACAGGGGCAAGGUUCCAGUGGUGAUCAGUUACAGACCAACCCAAAGUAGUUUGCAAGCAGACACCUUAUCUAUUGCUAGUCAUGCUUCAUUGCCAAAUAUUUGGACAGCAUGGCAAGCCAUAAUCCCUCUGGUGGAAGAACUAAACGUGCUCCUCCAGGAAUGGCCGGGGUUAUACUUCACUGUGCAUGUCCUGUGCUCCAAGUGCCUUAAAAGAGGGUCCUCAAAUCCUCAUACCUUUCCAGGGGAGCUCUUGACCCAAUCCAGGCCGGAAGGAGUGACUGAGAUCAUCUGUCCCAAAAAUGGGAGUGAGCGUGUGGAUGUGGCUCUGGUUUAUCCCCCGACUCCCACUGUGAUCAGUCCCUGCUGUAAGUGAGCAGUGGGCCUCCCUGCUAGUCCUCAUCAGAAACGAUACCUUUAAAAUUCUGUUCAAAUAUUUGGCAGACAACAAGGUUUUGGCAAGAAUAAGCAUUUUUUUAAUGAAUCCAGCAUAAAGAAGAUGCUUCCAGUUGAUACUUGUACUGAUUUAAUCUCCUCGGUUUGAUCAUUGUUCACUCAAAGUAAUGGUCACAAUAGUCCACUGACAUCAGGAAAUAUUGACAGACACUGCCGUGCCAGGCUCCCACUGCCCCCAGUGAAGCUGGCUGCAGAAGAACCAAACCAAAGAGCAGAAAGGGCUUGUGUCAGUAGAGGACUCCACUCUAAAUUGAAGGUUGUAGUGUCCCACUGACUCAAGUUAGGUGGAAAGAUACUCCAGGGUUUCUGUCUACCAUGACUGUGCAUCAGAAAGCUCCACGCAUGGAAAGGAUUUUUACUUGGCCUGAAAUUCUUUAAACUUCCAGCCAAGUGGAUGCAUUCUGGUUGAUAUUGAGCUGGAGUGUUUGUGACCAGUCGUGGAAUGUCUAUUUUCCUUGGAUAUGUGGAAGGAAAGAGCUAACCUGCAGAAGCUCUAAAACAAUGGAUUCCAAGCAGCUCCAUGAUGGGCACAGGACAUUGGAAGUAUUGCACCUGACUGAACGACUAAUUGUCUACACAAAGCAUAGAGAGAGGUUUUCUCGUCCAUUCUAAGCAGUCCUCAUCUGGAUGUGGAGCAAGGGAUUUUCAUCAUUUGAAAGCAAGUUGACCUGAUACACCCAUUCUUCCAACGAAUAGUGUAGACGCAGGGUUUCCACCACUUAUUUUUGGAACCGGUGGCUCCUCAGGGAUUUUUUUUUGCAGUGUUUUUCUAAAGCCAUACUUUCAGUGUUGUCUAAAGGCUGGAGGAAUUAAAUGCCAAACGCGAUUGUUCUGCCCUUGAGUCUGAGGCACAGAUGUCACUGAGUCUGUGUAAGCACAUCAGCACUAUUUUCUUCUUUAAACCCACUGAAACAUUUAAUUUAGAGUUUUCAAGGAACUGUUUGUGCAAUACUCGGUGUGAUAAAGUAAUCCUAUUCACUUUGUGUUAUAUUCACCCUUCCCCUGAAUCACAGUUGAGCGAGACCUCCAAUUGAUCCUGAUCUAUCCGUCAGAUCUCCUUACGGACAAAGGAUUAGGUUAAAGCUGCAAGCUCCCACUGUUUCUAUAUAUUUGUUCAGGGGUAUUCAUUAAAAUAGGGUCUUGGGGAACAAGAGCUGUUUGGAAGAUGCAUUGUUUUUUUACAAAAAAAUAUCUCAAACAGCACAUACAAAAUCUACAUUAUUCUUUCAGCCUUUCUGUACCCUAUCAAUGUAUGCUCUGCCCUUCUCUGUGGGAGCACUCUCAUCUCUGUGUCAGUAGGUUGUGUGUUCACGCCCCACUGCAGACCUUGAGCACAUAAUCCAGGCUGACACUCCAGUGCAGUGCCGAGGGAGUACUACACUGUCGGUUCAUCUUUCCAAUGAGGUGUUAAAAAGAGGCCCUUUCUGCCCUCCCUAUUGAAGAGAUGUGAAAGCACUAUUUGAAGAAGAGCAGGGAUGUUCUCUUGCUGUUCUUAAUCAACACCACCAAAAAAAAUUAACCUUGUUGUUCUUUUAAUUGUGGGAUCUUGCUGUGUGGCAAAAUAUUGGCUGUUUUUGCACACAAAACAGUGACUAUAUUUCUGAAAGUAUUCCGUUGAAUGUGAACCAUGUUGGGACAUUAAGCAUGAUAAGACAAUUUAGAAAGACAAGAAGACAAUUACUUUCUGCUGCAAAAGGCUUUUCAAAGUUGUGCAUCUUCAAAGCCAUUUUUUAAAAAAUGAAUACAUCUGGAAGGAAGAAGGAAAAUCCAUGCAGCUUACAACUAUUUUAUUUUUUGUGUUGCUAAUAAGCGUAUUGUGAUGGAACUGAAACAUUUGCACAUCAAGUCACCUUGGAUAAAUGACACUUAUUAAAAAGAUCAGUGGAAAA